ensembl:lncRNA
AUGGUAAAAACAUCAAAACAUCCGGGCGUCCCCUGGGUGGGAUUCGAACCUGGCAGCUUUCAGGUCAGCAACCCAAUCUUCAAGUCACAAGGCUUUUAUCCCCUAGGCCACUCAUCUUUGUCUCCUGAACUGAUACCCAAGUAUUUAUUUAUUUAUUUAUUUAUUUAUUUAUUUAUUUAUUUAUUUAUUUAUAUACUGCUCUUCUCCCCCAGGGGGACCCAGAGCGGUCUUAAGCAAUGGCAGAAUUAGAUGUCACAUGUAAUACAAAUGUAGUAAAACCAAACAUAAAACACAAUUAAGAGCUGGUAUCCAAAUCAAAUUAAAAAAUAAAAACCAUGUGACCAUUACAACAGGGGCAGUAGAACUGAGCCAAAGUCAGAGCCAGUCCAUGUUCAAUGUCAUAUUAAUCCACAGACUCCAUCAGGUCAUAUCAACCCAUAUCCUAGGAUGGGCCAAAAGCCUGGCCCCACAUCCAGGUCUUCAGCUGCUUCCUAAAAGACAUGAGUGAGGGGUUUUCCUAAUCUCCCUUGGCAAGGAGUUCCACAGCUGCGGAGCCACCACCGAAAAAGCCCUGUCUCUUGUCCCCGCCAACUGCACCUGUGACGGUGGUGGGACUGAAAGCAGGGCUUCACUCGAAGAUCUUAAUCUGUGGGACGGCCCAUAGGGGGAGAUACGUUCUGAGUGGUAAGUUGGACCAGAGCCGUUUAGGUUUUGUAGGCCAAAGCCAGCACUUUGAAUUGUGCCUGGAAGCUAACAGGCAACCAGUGGAGCUGUUUCAACAGACGAGUUUAUUUAUUAUUUGUUUAUUUACAACAUUUAUAUUCCGCCCUUCUCACCCCGAAGGGGACUCAGGACGGAUCACAUUACACAUAUAGGCAAACAUUCAAUGCCUUUUAACAUAGAACAAAGACAGACAAACAUAGGCUCCGAGCGGGCCUCGAACUCGUGACCUCCUGGUCAGAGUGAUUCAUUGCAGUGAUACAUUGCAGCUGCUCUCCAGCCUGCGCCACAGCCCGAGCCCGUUGUAUGCUCCCUGAAUGGUGCUCCAGUUAAUAACCUGGCUGCGGAAAGUUACCCCCAGGAAACUUCUUGCUACCAUUUUGGGAGGGGGGAUAUAUGACAAAUUGGUCACAUAGGCAGUCCUCUUUUAUUUUAUUUCUAUAUCAUCCCUCCAAAAGGAAAUCUUAUUAUUAAUUACUGAUGUAGGCUAUUUAAUUCAUGGCAGUUGGGGAGGGCAGUAUGAUGUAUAUCUGCUCAUGCCUAGGUCCCAAUAGCUUGUUGGAGAAUGUGAGAGAUAAUAUGGUUAUUCUUUAUCAUAGUACUCAGGUUGUUAAGGCAGAAGCUGAACACUUCUAAAUCCUUUCCUGCAUCUCACUAAUCUUCAGGUAUUUUAUUUUUCUGUCUUGUCCUCCAUAAAAACCAUAUGCCUGGAUCUGUUGAAAAUUUUUAACAGAAUUAAAAUUAAAGUUACAUUAAUUAUUUUUAAUUAUUUUUAUUUAUUAAUGACUAUGUUCGUUCCUUUUUCUGUUAGAUCCUGUGUAUAUGGUUGAAUGUGGAUACUUGUUCAGCUUCUGCCUUGUCAAUUUGAUUACUGG